CAACAAAGUUCAGUUUACGCGCCGCGAUUGGGCGCUGAGCAUCUGGUCGGAUCUCUUAAAGGGAGAGCUGCACCGUUAAUAACGUUUGACGUGUUCACAAAAACAGGCUGCCCUUUACAUCGUAACCAGAGCCAGUUAAAGGUCUUUCUAACCAAGGACAGGGAGACAUAAAAGGCCAUGAGGGGAGAGGAAUGUCCAGCUGGUGAGCCUGGACACUGCCCAGUCAUGUCUAUGUCGAGAGUGUACAAAGGCCAUCGGAACCAAAAAAACUCGCACUUGCAGACAUGAAACUGUCAAAAUAAUGGUAAUGCUUUAUUUUAUGGGCCUGUGAUUCCUCAAUAAUAUAUUUAACUAUUGAUAAUUCCCACAAAGUCUCCCGGGAAGAGCUACCAUUUGCUGAUUACAGGGAAAAUAGAAAUAGUGUCCAACUGGUGGUUUAGUAGGUUUAAUUAAUAUUUACUUUGGUUAAAAUUAAGCAUUUCUUAUAGCAUUACCAUUUUUUUUUUCUUGACAAAUAAGUACCCUAAAGACAGCUGCUGCAGGCUCAUGACAUAAUGGCAGCCAUCACUUAAACUGGAGGAUUUGGAGUGUGUGUGAGGCAGAUAAUUGUCCCUCAUUAUUCCCAACAAUCAAGCAUGGGUGGGGAUUGUUUCAUUCCUGUCAGGUGUCAUGAAAAUGUAUGUUGCGCCCAAUAAAAUUACUUAGUAGUAUUUCCUUAAAAAGUGAGCAAACAAAGCAAAGAUUAGAUUAGAUAAAGAAUGAGUGACAAUUACAGCCGCAAAAGGCGUAUUUCUAAAAACAUGUAUGUACCUGAUGAAUGUUGUCCUUGAUGGAGUUUUGCAAUGUCGUCACUCACUGAAAUGUUAAACUUCCAAGAGAGAGUCACAAGGAAUUAACAUUGCAGUACGCCCACUCGCUGUACCUGCGUCAAAACUUGGAGGAAUUUCCACAGAAAGAUAGUGAGCUUGUGUUACUUUAAAUGAGACAGGAUGUUUUAAUCAUGGAUCAUUUUUUGUCAUUCUCCACUGCUGGGUUGCAAAAACAGAACUGACAGAAGUAAUUAUGUAAUAGCUAGUGCAACCACGCAUUUGUUCUUAAAGGUCAUUGUCAGUACAUUUAUACAGGGAGUGUUUGCUGCUGUUUUAUUUGUGAUUUGUUUUAUUGAUUAUUUGGUGCUGCUUUGUACUGUAUACAGGUAUUGAGUUAUAAAUAAAUUGGGAUUGGAUGGGCAUCUCUCAUGGAGCCUACUUUAUCCAUUCCCAUUGUGUAAAUUUCCUUGAGUUAGUGCACAUCCCUUUCACUUGUCUGAUGAACAUUUAUGUGACCCUUUCUUGGCAUGUACUUCCUUUGUAAAAUGACUUUGUGGGUGUUUUCUGAUGAAAUGUUUUCUGAUGUAAAUCUAUGGAAGUUAUGGUAGUUGUUACUUCCACUUAUAUCUGCCACAGUCAGUUUUCAUUAUUCUUUUAAUCCCUGAUUAAGUAAACUAUGUACAAUAUCACUGUAAACUAAAUGCUAAUGUAAAACUGUGUAUUUAUUUACAUACUAUAUUUUUAUUAUUAUUGCAUCAUUAUUAUUUUAUAAUUUAAUAAAAUAUUCACAAACUGACUACAGGGACAUUAUAGAUUUGAGGUAACAAAAAAGUCAAAACAAACAAACAAACAAACAAUUUAAAUAUUUACAAGUGUAAACUAACUAUUUACAUAGGUUAAGCUGUAGGAACACCUCAGUCCAGAGAUCUGGAGAAAAAGUGAAAGAGAAACUCAAAUGUGCCACAUGACUACCUGCGCAUGGCACAGGAGGAGAGGGAGAGACCCACUAAGCAGAAUGCGUGUGAAUGAAUUACAAUUAAAUUUAUCUGAGAUGUCUUUUCCCUCAUGGACUGAAUAAAUCGCUAAAAUUGGUUCUUUUUAGAAAUAAAGUUGCUAAGAAGGUAGCUAAAUCUAGCGACCAUUUGUAAUGAUACAUUUCCUCGCUGUAUCUAAGUGUCUCAGGUGCAUCGUCCCCGGUAUGAUGGGACCUCCUUAAUUUUGAGCACUGUUAUAGAUACAAAAUCAGACUGAAUGGGCCUCCGUAGUCUUUCAUGUAUUUUACAACUCAUAAAAUGGCAGGUCAUCAUAUUGAUCUUACGCUCAAUCGGUGUACAAUACUGAGUAUUUUGAAGUAUAAAUGGAGUUGGUUCUGUGAAUACAAUGUGAUAGAAAAGUCCUUGAGAGAACUUAAUGCAAUAUACACUACAAUAACUGCUGCACAGAGAUUACCUUCUAUCAAAGAAUACACGUCAUACCCCUUCAGACCCUGUGUCCAUUACAAUGGACGUCACUUGACAGGGGCUUCUUUUUUACUUUUUGCAACAUUUAACAGACAAAAAAAAGGUAUGAUGUUGUCAUAUGAUGUUGGUAUUUUAAGAAUUGUUUGGACCCGAUGUCCAUUGAAAUGGACAAGAAAAAUAACAAUUAAAGGGUUUUGAUUAAAAACAUUUUUUUUAUUGAUUCUCAUUUCUGGUUGCAUUAAGGAUGGGAAAAAGUCAUUAUUAUAUUUUUCACAACCUUGGAACAUAAGGCGGGUCUGAAGGGGUUAAGACAUCUUUCUACAUGCGUAUGACUGCAGGUGAUUCAUGCAGACACAUGCACCCUUCACUUUUUCAACUAGCUUAUUUCUCACUUAUGUAAUGUAUAUUUAUGUGACCGUUACUUGGCAUGUACUUCCACGGUAAAAUGACUUUGUGGGUGUUUUCUGAUGAAAUGUUUGUUCCAAAGAAGGAAAUGUUGGCUUGUCAUCUUAUCAUUAGUAAUAUGUCUGUUUUGAUUGUGCUACGAUGGAAAGAGUAAAUGUGAUUAAUAUUGCCACGGGGUCGACAUAACAAACAUGUGAACAUAUUUUUAUUUAUACUAUUUAUGAUAACUUUGAUUCAGUCACUGGCAACAUUUCAUUGACUCGCUCUGGUCCACCAUGGAAGUUAUGGUAGUUGUUACUUCCACUUAUAUCUGAAAUAAAAAAAUUGGCCACAA